rnacentral:piRNA from 1 species
UGCCAUGGUAUAGAUGACUAGAAUACCCU